GAUGAACGCUAGCUACAGGCUUAACACAUGCAAGUCGAGGGGAAACGAUGAGAGAGCUUGCUCUCUUAGGCGUCGACCGGCGCACGGGUGAGUAACGCGUAUCCAACCUACCCAUUACAGGGGGAUAACCUUGCGAAAGUAAGACUAAUACCCCAUGGCAUUUUAUGGUGGCAUCAUUAUAGGAUUAAAGAUUUAUUGGUAAUGGUUGGGGAUGCGUCUGAUUAGCUUGUUGGCGGGGUAACGGCCCACCAAGGCAACGAUCAGUAGGGGUUCUGAGAGGAAGGUCCCCCACAUUGGAACUGAGACACGGUCCAAACUCCUACGGGAGGCAGCAGUGAGGAAUAUUGGUCAAUGGGCGAGAGCUUGAACCAGCCAAGUAGCGUGCAGGAUGACGGCCCUAUGGGUUGUAAACUGCUUUUAUAGGGGAAUAAAGUGAGCUACGUGUAGUUUAUUGCAUGUACCCUAUGAAUAAGGACCGGCUAAUUCCGUG
rnacentral:rRNA from 1 species